rnacentral:tRNA from 3 species
AAACCCUUCGUCUAAUGGUAGGACGUUAACCUUUCACGUUAAGAAUAUGAGUUCGAUUCUCAUAGGGUUCA